UAGUUAGUUGGUGGGUAAAGGCCUACCAAGACAAUGAUGCAUAGCCGAGUUAGAGACUGAUCGGCCACAUUGGGACUGAGACACGGCCCAAACUCCUACGGGAGGCUGCAGUAGGGAAUCUUCCACAAUGGGCGAAAGCCUGAUGGAGCAACGCCGCGUGUGUGAUGAAGGCUUUCGGGUCGUAAAGCACUGUUGUAUGGGAAGAACAGCUAGAAUAGGAAAUGAUUUUAGUUUGACGGUACCAUACCAGAAAGGGACGGCUAAAUACGUGCCAGCAGCCGCGGUAAUACGUAUGUCCCGAGCGUUAUCCGGAUUUAUUGGGCGUAAAGCGAGCGCAGACGGUUUAUUAAGUCUGAUGUGAAAGCCCGGAGCUCAACUCCGGAAUGGCAUUGGAAACUGGUUAACUUGAGUGCAGUAGAGGUAAGUGGAACUCCAUGUGUAGCGGUGGAAUGCGUAGAUAUAUGGAAGAACACCAGUGGCGAAGGCGGCUUACUGGACUGCAACUGACGUUGAGGCUCGAAAGUGUGGGUAGCAAACAGGAUUAGAUACCCUGGUAGUCCACACCGUAAACGAUGAACACUAGGUGUUAGGAGGUUUCCGCCUCUUAGUGCCGAAGCUAACGCAUUAAGUGUUCCGCCUGGGGAGUACGACCGCAAGGUUGAAACUCAAAGGAAUUGACGGGGACCCGCACAAGCGGUGGAGCAUGUGGUUUAAUUCGAAGCAACGCGAAGAACCUUACCAGGUCUUGACAUCCUUUGAAGCUUUUAGAGAUAGAAGUGUUCUCUUCGGAGACAAAGUGACAGGUGGUGCAUGGUCGUCGUCAGCUCGUGUCGUGAGAUGUUGGGUUAAGUCCCGCAACGAGCGCAACCCUUAUUGUUAGUUGCCAGCAUUCAGAUGGGCACUCUAGCGAGACUGCCGGUGACAAACCGGAGGAAGGCGGGGACGACGUCAGAUCAUCAUGCCCCUUAUGACCUGGGCUACACACGUGCUACAAUGGCGUAUACAACGAGUUGCCAACCCGCGAGGGUGAGCUAAUCUCUUAAAGUACGUCUCAGUUCGGAUUGUAGUCUGCAACUCGACUACAUGAAGUCGGAAUCGCUAGUAAUCGCGGAUCAGCACGCCGCGGUGAAUACGUUCCCGGGUCUUGUACACACCGCCCGUCACACCAUGGGAGUUUGUAAUGCCCAAAGCCGGUGGCCUAACCUUUAGGAAGGAGCCGUCUAAGG
rnacentral:rRNA from 1 species